GUAGGUGGCAAGCGUUGUCCGGAAUUAUUGGGCGUAAAGCGCACGCAGGCGGUUCUUUAAGUCUGAUGUGAAAGCCCACGGCUCAACCGUGGAGGGUCAUUGGAAACUGGAGAACUUGAGUACAGAAGAGGAAAGCGGAAUUCCACGUGUAGCGGUGAAAUGCGUAGAGAUGUGGAGGAACACCAGUGGCGAAGGCGGCUUUCUGGUCUGUAACUGACGCUGAGGCGCGAAAGCGUGGGGAGCAAACAGGAUUAGAUACCCUGGUAGUCCACGCCGUAAACGAUGAGUGCUAAGUGUUAGGGGGUUUCCGCCCCCCUUAGUGCUGCAGCUAACGCAUUAAGCACUCCGCCUGGGAGUACGGCCGCAAGGCUG
rnacentral:rRNA from 1 species